CGCGUAGGCGGCUGUACAAGUCAGGUGUGAAAUUCCGGGGCUCAACUCCGGAGCUGCAUCUGAGACUGUACGGCUAGAGCUCGGUAGGGGCGAGUGGAAUUCCCGGUGUAGCGGUGGAAUGCGUAGAUAUCGGGGAGAACACCAGUGGCGAAGGCGGCUCGCUGGACCGGUGCUGACGCUGAGGCGCGAAAGCGUGGGGAGCAAACA
rnacentral:rRNA from 1 species